rnacentral:rRNA from 1 species
GACGAACGCUGGCGGCGUGCCUAAUACAUGCAAGUAGAACGCUGAAGAGAGGAGCUUGCUCUUCUUGGAUGAGUUGCGAACGGGUGAGUAACGCGUAGGUAACCUGCCUGGUAGCGGGGGAUAACUAUUGGAAACGAUAGCUAAUACCGCAUAAAAUGGAUUAUCGCAUGAUAAUCCAUUGAAAGGUGCAAAUGCAUCACUACCAGAUGGACCUGCGUUGUAUUAGCUAGUUGGUGGGGUAACGGCUCACCAAGGCGACGAUACAUAGCCGACCUGAGAGGGUGAUCGGCCACACUGGGACUGAGACACGGCCCAGACUCCUACGGGAGGCAGCAGUAGGGAAUCUUCGGCAAUGGACGGAAGUCUGACCGAGCAACGCCGCGUGAGUGAAGAAGGUUUUCGGAUCGGAAAGCUCUGUUGUAAGAGAAGAACGAGUGUGAGAGUGGAAAGUUCACACUGUGACGGUAGCUUACCAGAAAGGGACGGCUAACUACGUG